rfam:Triticum aestivum genome assembly, contig: Triticum_aestivum_CS42_TGACv1_scaffold_362206_4DS
AUUAUACUCCCUCCGUCCGGAAAAACUUGUCAUCAAAAUGGAUAAAAGGGGUGUAUUUAGACAUAUUUUAGUUCUAGGUGCAUCUAUUUUUAUCCAUUUUGAUGACAAGUAUUUCCGAACGGGGGGAGUAUUUU